rnacentral:rRNA from 1 species
GGACAGAUGGGAGCUUGCUCCCUGAUGUUAGCGGCGGACGGGUGAGUAACACGUGGGUAACCUGCCUGUAAGACUGGGAUAACUCCGGGAAACCGGGGCUAAUACCGGAUGGUUGUUUGAACCGCAUGGUUCAAACAUAAAAGGUGGCUUCGGCUACCACUUACAGAUGGACCCGCGGCGCAUUAGCUAGUUGGUGAGGUAACGGCUCACCAAGGCGACGAUGCGUAGCCGACCUGAGAGGGUGAUCGGCCACACUGGGACUGAGACACGGCCCAGACUCCUACGGGAGGCAGCAGUAGGGAAUCUUCCGCAAUGGACGAAAGUCUGACGGAGCAACGCCGCGUGAGUGAUGAAGGUUUUCGGAUCGUAAAGCUCUGUUGUUAGGGAAGAACAAGUACCGUUCGAAUAGGGCGGUGCCUUGACGGUACCUAACCAGAAAGCCACGGCUAACUACGUGCCAGCAGCCGCGGUAAUACGUAGGUGGCAAGCGUUGUCCGGAAUUAUUGGGCGUAAAGGGCUCGCAGGCGGUUUCUUAAGUCUGAUGUGAAAGCCCCCGGCUCAACCGGGGAGGGUCAUUGGAAACUGGGGAACUUGAGUGCAGAAGAGGAGAGUGGAAUUCCACGUGUAGCGGUGAAAUGCGUAGAGAUGUGGAGGAACACCAGUGGCGAAGGCGACUCUCUGGUCUGUAACUGACGCUGAG